rnacentral:RNase_P_RNA from 1 species
UUGGCAUGAUAAACGGUCGCUUUGGCAUCUCACACCAAAGAGGAAAGUCCGAGCUGCUAUAAGACAUGGUUCCAUCUAACAGAUGGCUAAGGAAACUUAAGGGAUAGUGCAACAGAAAGCAAACUUCCGCAUUUGCGGUAAAGGUGAAACGGUAAGGUAAGAGCUUACCAGCAUUAUUGGUAACAAUGAUGGCUUUGUAAACCCAACCUGCAGCAAGAAGGGAUGGUUUUGGUCUUAUAUUAAAACCCUUCGCUUGAGCUAAAUUGCGAAAUUUAGCCUAGAUAAAUGACCGUUCUAGACAGAACUCGGCUUAUCGUCAUGCCUUUUUG